rnacentral:rRNA from 1 species
UACAGAGGGUGCAAGCGUUAAUCGGAAUUACUGGGCGUAAAGCGUGCGUAGACGGUUAUGUAAGUCGGGUGUGAAAGCCCCGGGCUCAACCUGGGAAUGCCAUUCGAGACUGCAUAGCUAGGGUGCGGAAGAGGGAAGCGGAAUUUCAGGUGUAGCGGUGAAAUGCGUAGAUAUCUGGAGGAACACCGGUGGCGAAGGCGGCAUCCUGGACCAUUACUGACGCUGAGGAGCGAAAGCCAGGGGAGCAAACGGG